GAUGAAGAACGUAGCGAAAUGCGAUAAGUAAUGUGAAUUGCAGAAUUCAGUGAAUCAUCGAAUCUUUGAACGCACAUUGCGCCCACCAGUAUUCUGGCGGGCAUGCCUGUUCGAGCGUCAUUUCAACCCUCAGGGCCCUUUUGGACCUGGCGUUGGGGCUCGGCCGCUACCCUGCGGCCGUCCCCGAAAGAUAGUGGCGGUCUCGCUGUAGCCUCCUCUGCGUAGUAGUUACAUCUCGCACUGGAACGCGGCGCGGCCAUGCCGUUAAACACCCCACUUCUCAAGGUUGACCUCGGAUCAGGUAGGAAUACCCGCUGAACUUAAGCAUAUCAAUAAGCGGAGGA
rnacentral:misc_RNA from 1 species